rnacentral:rRNA from 1 species
AACGAACGCUGGCGGCAUGCCUAACACAUGCAAGUCGAACGGGAUCCAGGCUUCGGCCUGGUGAGAGUGGCGGACGGGUGAGUAACGCGUGGGAACCUGCCCAAUGGUCUGGGAUAACCGCGGGAAACUGCGGCUAAUACCGGAUAAGCCCCGAGAGGGGAAAGAUUUAUCGCCGAUGGAGGGGCCCGCGUCAGAUUAGGUAGUUGGUGGGGUAAUGGCCUACCAAGCCUACGAUCUGUAGCUGGUCUGAGAGGAUGAUCAGCCACACUGGGACUGAGAUACGGCCCAGACUCCUACGGGAGGCAGCAGUGGGGAAUAUUGGACAAUGGGGGCAACCCUGAUCCAGCAAUGCCGCGUGAGUGGUGAAGGCCUUAGGGUUGUAAAGCUCUUUUGGCGGGGACGAUGAUGACGGUACCCGCAGAAUAAGCCCCGGCUAACUUCGUGCCAGCAGCCGCGGUAAUACGAAGGGGGCGAGCGUUGUUCGGAAUUACUGGGCGUAAAGGGCGCGUAGGCGGCCGAUCAAGUCAGAUGUGAAAGUCCUGGGCUUAACCUGGGGACUGCAUUUGAUACUGAUUGGCUUGAAUUCGGGAGAGGAUAGCGGAAUUCCCAGUGUAGAGGUGAAAUUCGUAGAUAUUGGGAAGAACACCGGUGGCGAAGGCGGCUAUCUGGACCGACAUUGACGCUGAGGCGCGAAAGCGUGGGGAGCAAACAGGAUUAGAUACCCUGGUAGU